CAGUCGCCGCGGGAAUACGUAGGUCCCGAGCGUUGUCCGGAUUUAUUGGGCGUAAAGCGAGCGCAGGCGGUUAGAUAAGUCUGAAGUUAAAGGCUGUGGCUUAACCAUAGUACGCUUUGGAAACUGUUUAACUUGAGUGCAAGAGGGGAGAGUGGAAUUCCAUGUGUAGCGGUGAAAUGCGUAGAUAUAUGGAGGAACACCGGCGGCGAAAGCGGCUCUCUGGCUUGUAACUGACGCUGAGGCUCGAAAGCGUGGGAGCAAACAGGAUUAGAUACCCCCGUAGUCCCUGUCUCUUAUACAC
rnacentral:rRNA from 1 species